rnacentral:lncRNA from 1 species
AUGUUAAGGUUAGAGCUAAUGUUACGGUUAGAGCUAGGGUUAUGUUUAGAGCUAGGGUUAGAGCUAGGGUUAUGUUUAGAGCUAGGGUUAGAGCUAGGGUUAGGGUUAGAGCUAGGGUUAGAGCUAGGAUUAAGGUUCGAGCUAGGGUUAGGGUUAGAGCUAGGGUUAAGGUUAGAGUUAGGGUUAAGGUUAGCGCUAAUGUUACGGUUAGAGCUAGAGUUAGGGUUAGUUUGUUUGGUGGAGCAAACAAAGAGACACGGAGGAAGGCCGGAGAGAGAAGCUAUGAGCAGCAGACCAAGACGCGACUGUGGACUUUGUUGUAAACAGAAUAUCGUGCGGCUAGACCGACAUUUAAAGGCUGUACAUGGACUUAAGUUUGGUACUAUGGAGUGGACGAACGCUAUGCAAUUUAGCCGGUUUUCGAGUGAGAGACAGCAGCCCGAAUCGGGGCAGUAUAUGCAGCCUGACAACGGUGUUGAACCGCGGCCGGAGGACCCUGUGAUUUUGGAGUGUUUUGAAAGUGAGUUGUCCGUGGAGCAGCAGCCUGUGGACGAGGGUGAUCAGACGGCAGGUGCGUCGGCGGCGGCGGUGCAGCCAGUCAGUCAGGUCGGUAGUGAACUGUGCUCGGAUCCGAGGGAGCAAGGCUGUGACGUGGCGACUUCCACGGAGAGCGAGAGUGAUGAGGACGGCGGCGGCGUACCGUCCCGAAUGGAGGUUUGGAGUAAUGUAAUUUUGACUCAAUAUGAACAAUAUAUUACGGGUAGACACCCUUCAGUUAAACGAAUUGACAAUAGUCGCACCAGUAUAUCCCGAGUACGGGAAUUCCUCCGCAUUAUGUCAGAGGGCAAGGCCGAUGAAGGACUGUGUUUUCUGGAUAACUACAGACGUGUGUAUGAGUGGUAUGGUCAAUGUGAUGACCGUGGUUUGGCACCAUCCACGUUAAAAAUGUACCGGGCCGAUGUUCGAGGUUUCCUGAAUUAUCUCAUUCAGUUCCGGCCAAAUGGUAUGCAAGCUAAGGUCGUUGGAAUUCGAAAGAUGUUACUCUGCUUGGCGAAGAUGGACAGGGACUCACGGCAGAGCCAGGCAACUCAUAGGGCAAAAUUCCGCCAACGCUGCAGGGACGAGGUGCUCAGCGCUGCGGAGUUAAAACGCUUUGUUGAGCUAAGCAAUCAAGCCAUUCCUUCAGUUCUCAGUAGGCUGGAGGUCCGUGCCACCUGCUCUGACAGGCGUAGGUUUGCAGCUCUCAUGUCCAGCCGGUUGGCCAUAUUUAAUGGCACUCGACGAUCCCCAGUCACCAUGUUUAGUGAGAGUGAUUUCAAUGAAGUAACCCCGGAAGGUGGGGGUUAUCAGAUGUGUGUAGCUAGCCACAAAACAAACUAUAGCUUUGGGGAGUGCAGAAUUGUUCUAUGUCAGGAGGAAUACACUUGGCUUAAACGAUUCCAUCAAAUCAGGCCUCAUCUGAGUGGAAUGACCUCAGAAAUAGAACUCUUCUUUUUCACAUCCUGCGGUCAACCUUACGGUAAUCUGUGUGAGUAUGUGGGGCAAAUCUUUGCAGAGUUUGGUAUUGGAAGUAAAGUGACCUUCGGUACAAUUCGACGCAGUGUUGCCACAUUGAACUUUAACCAAGGCUCGGAUACAGACCGAGGAACUGUGGCUGACCAUAUGUGUCACUCUCUGGAAACGCAGGCACGCCACUACCGGUACCACAAUUUGCCCAAAAAUGCCAGCCGGGCCCGGGCACUGAUUGAGGGACAAAUCAAUAAAUGA